rnacentral:tRNA from 1 species
AAGGCCUUAAGUUAAACAUUCAAAACUAAUAACCUUCAAAGCUAUAAAUAAAGGGACUUUCCUUUAGGCCUUG